UAUUGCACAAUGGGGGAAACCCUGAUGCAGCGACGCCGCGUGAGUGAAGAAGUAUUUCGGGAUGUAAAGCUCUAUCAGCAGGGAAGAUAAUGACGGUACCUGACUAAGAAGCCCCGGCUAACUACGUUCCAGCAGCCGCGGGAAUACGUAGGGGGCAAGCGUUAUCCGGAUUUACUGGGUGUAAAGGGUGCGUAGGUGGCAGGGCAAGUCAGAUGUGAAAGCCCGGGGAUCAACCACGGUACUGCAUUUGAAACUGUCCAGCUGGAGUGCAGGAGAGGUAAGCGGAAUUCCUAGUGUAGCGGUGAAAUGCGUAGAUAUUAGGAGGAACACCAGUGGCGAAGGCGGCUUACUGGACUGUAACUGACGUUGAGGCUCGAAAGCGUGGGGAGCA
rnacentral:rRNA from 1 species